rnacentral:rRNA from 1 species
AGCCGCGGUAAUUCCAGCUCCAAUAGCGUAUAUUAAAGUUGUUGCAGUUAGAACGCUCGUAGUCGGAUUUCGGGGCAGUCCGACCGGUCUGCCGAUGGGUAUGCACUGGCCGGAGUGUCCUUUUUGCCGGAGACCGUGCCUACUCUUAACUGAGCGGGGGCGGGAGACGGCACUUUUACUUUGAAAAAAUCAGAGUGUUUCAAGCAGGCAGCUCGCUCUUGCAUGGAUUAGCAUGGGAUAAUGAAAUAGGACUUUGGUGCUAUUUUGUUGGUUUCGAACACCGAAGUAAUGAUGAGAAGGGACAGUCAGGGGCACUCGUAUUCCGCAGAGAGAGGUGAAAUUCUCAGACCCGCGGAAGACGAACCACUGCGAAAGCAUUUGCCAGGGAUGUUUUCACUGAUCAAGAACGAAAGUUAGGGGAUCGAAGAUGAUCAGAUACCGUCGUAGUCUUAACCAUAAACCAUGCCGACUAGGGAUUGGAGGAUGUUCACUGAUUGACUCCUUCAGCACCUUACGGGAAACUAAAGUCUUUGGGUUCCGAGGGGAGUAUGGUCGCAAGGCUGAAACUUAAAGGAAUUGACGGAAGGGCACCACCAGGUGUGGAGCCUGCGGCUUAAUUUGACUCAACACGGGGAAACUUACCAGGUCCAGACAUUGUGAGGAUUGACAGAUUGAGAGCUCUUUCUUGAUUCGAUGGGUGGUGGUGCAUGGCCGUUCUUAGUUGGUGGAGUGAUUUGUCUGGUUAAUUCCGUUAACGAACGAGACCUUAGCCUGCUAAAUAGUGACGCGAACUCUUUGUUGGCGGGCCACUUCUUAGAGGGACAACUUGUCUUCAACAAGUGGAAGUUUGAGGCAAUAACAGGUCUGUGAUGCCAGGCGAUCGUUAACUUGCAGAC